GAUGAACGCUGGCGGCGUGCCUAAUACAUGCAAGUCGAGCGAACAGACGAGGAGCUUGCUCCUCUGACGUUAGCGGCGGACGGGUGAGUAACACGUGGAUAACCUACCUAUAAGACUGGGAUAACUUCGGGAAACCGGAGCUAAUACCGGAUAAUAUAUUGAACCGCAUGGUUCAAUAGUGAAAGACGGUUUUGCUGUCACUUAUAGAUGGAUCCGCGCCGCAUUAGCUAGUUGGUAAGGUAACGGCUUACCAAGGCGACGAUGCGUAGCCGACCUGAGAGGGUGAUCGGCCACACUGGAACUGAGACACGGUCCAGACUCCUACGGGAGGCAGCAGUAGGGAAUCUUCCGCAAUGGGCGAAAGCCUGACGGAGCAACGCCGCGUGAGUGAUGAAGGUCUUCGGAUCGUAAAACUCUGUUAUUAGGGAAGAACAAAUGUGUAAGUAACUAUGCACGUCUUGACGGUACCUAAUCAGAAAGCCACUGCUAACUACGUG
rnacentral:rRNA from 1 species